rnacentral:rRNA from 1 species
AGAGCGAACGCUGGCGGCAGGCCUAACACAUGCAAGUCGAGCGCCCCGCAAGGGGAGCGGCAGACGGGAGAGUAACACGUGGGAACGUACCCUUUGGUUCGGAACAACACAGGGAAACUUGUGCUAAUACCGGAUAAGCCCUUACGGGGAAAGAUUUAUCGGCUAAGGAUGGACUCGCGGCCUAUCAGCUAGUUGGUGGGGUAGAAGCCUACCAAGGCGACGACGGGUAGCC